rnacentral:rRNA from 1 species
UACGAAGGGGGCUAGCGUUGCUCGGAAUCACUGGGCGUAAAGGGUGCGUAGGCGGGUCUUUAAGUCAGGGGUGAAAUCCUGGAGCUCAACUCCAGAACUGCCUUUGAUACUGAGGAUCUUGAGUACGGGAGAGGUGAGUGGAACUGCGAGUGUAGAGGUGAAAUUCGUAGAUAUCGAGAGGAACACCUGCGGCGAAGGCGGGUUGCUGGGCUGAUACUGACGCUGAGGCGCGAAAGCCAGGGGAGCGAACGGG